AUAGACGGAAGAAUCUCUCGGGGGAACAGCAUUGCGGAAUUAUUCACCCUUGUCUUAUGCAUACUUCUAGUUUCCGGGGUGGGGUCGCCCACCACUAGGACAAACAUAAACCUUUUGUAACUGCAAUCAGCGUAAGUAAAAAAUUAAUAAUUACAACUUUCAACAACGGAUCUCAUGGUUCGGGCAUCGAUGAAGAACGCAGCGAAAUGCGAUAAGUAGUGUGAAUUGCAGAAUUCAGUGAAUCAUCGAAUCUUUGAACGCACAUUGCGCCCUUUGGUAUUCCAAAGGGCAUGCCUGUUCGAGCGUCAUUUGUACCCUCAAGCUUUGCUUGGUGUUGGGCGUCUUGUCUCUAGCUUUGCUGGAGACUCGCCUUAAAGUAAUUGGCAGCCGGCCUACUGGUUUCGGAGCGCAGCACAAGUCGCACUCUCUAUCAGCAAAGGUCUAGCAUCCAUUAAGCCUUUUUUCAACUUUUGAAAACCCACCAGGUAGGGAUACCCGCUGAACUUAAGCAUAUCAAUAGGCCGGGAGGAA
rnacentral:rRNA from 1 species